GUCGAACGCGAAAGGGGCUUCGGCCCUGAGUAGAGUGGCGAACGGGUGAGUAACACGUGGGUGAUCUACCUCUGAGUGGGGGAUAACCUUCCGAAAGGAGGGCUAAAACCGCAUGACGUCCCGGGUUUGAAGACCUGGAUACCAAAGUCGGGGACCGCAAGGCCUGAUGCUUGGAGAGGAGCCCGCGCCUGAUUAGCUAGUUGGUGGGGUAAUGGCUCACCAAGGCGACGAUCAGUAGCCGGCCUGAGAGGGCGGACGGCCACACUGGGACUGAGACACGGCCCAGACUCCUACGGGAGGCAGCAGUGGGGAAUUGUUCGCAAUGGGCGCAAGCCUGACGACGCAACGCCGCGUGGAGGAUGAAGGUCUUCGGAUUGUAAACUCCUGUUGACCGGGACGAAUGGGCUCCGACCUAACACGUCGGGGCAGUGACGGUACCGGUUGAGGAAGCCACGGCUAACUCUGUGCCAGCAGCCGCGGUAAUACAGAGGUGGCAAGCGUUGUUCGGAAUUACUGGGCGUAAAGGGCGCGUAGGCGGCCUUCUAAGUCGAACGUGAAAUCCCCGGGCUCAACCCGGGAACUGCGUCCGAUACUGGAAGGCUUGAAUCCGGGAGAGGGAUGCGGAAUUCCAGGUGUAGCGGUGAAAUGCGUAGAUAUCUGGAGGAACACCGGUGGCGAAGGCGGCAUCCUGGACCGGUAUUGACGCUGAGGCGCGAAAGCCAGGGGAGCAAACGGGAUUAGAUACCCCGGUAGUCCUGGCCCUAAAC
rnacentral:rRNA from 1 species